GACGUAGGGCGCGAGCGUUGUCCGGAUUUAUUGGGCGUAAAGAGCUCGUAGGCGGCUUGUCGCGUCGACUGUGAAAACCCAGGGCUCAACCCUGGGCCUGCAUUCGAUACGGGCAGACUAGAGUAUGGCAGGGGAGACUGGAAUUCCUGGUGUAGCGGUGAAAUGCGCAGAUAUCAGGAGGAACACCGGUGGCGAAGGCGGGUCUCUGGGCCAAAACUGACGCUGAGGAGCGAAAGCGUGGGGAGCGAACAGG
rnacentral:rRNA from 1 species